CAGCCGCCGCGGGAAAACAGAGGAUGCAAGCGUUAUCCGGAAUGAUUGGGCGUAAAGCGUCUGUAGGUGGCUUUUCAAGUCCGCCGUCAAACCCCAGGGCUCAACCCUGGACAGGCGGUGGAAACUACCAAGCUGGAGUACGGUAGGGGCAGAGGGAAUUUCCAGUGGAGCGGUGAAAUGCGUUGAGAUCGAAAAGAACACCAACAGCGAAAGCACUCUGCUGGGACGACACUGACACUAAGAGACGAAAGCUAGGGGAGCAAAUGGGAUUAGAUACCCGCGUAGUCCCUGUCUCUUAUAC
rnacentral:rRNA from 1 species